ACUCCUACGGGAGGCAGCAGUGGGGAAUAUUGCACAAUGGGCGCAAGCCUGAUGCAGCGACGCCGCGUGAGGGAUGACGGCCUUCGGGUUGUAAACCUCUUUCAGCAGGGACGAAGCGCAAGUGACGGUACCUGCAGAAGAAGGACCGGCCAACUACGUGCCAGCAGCCGCGGUAAUACGUAGGGUCCGAGCGUUGUCCGGAAUUACUGGGCGUAAAGAGCUCGUAGGUGGUUUGUCGCGUUGUUCGUGAAAACUCACAGCUCAACUGUGGGCGUGCGGGCGAUACGGGCAGACUGGAGUACUGCAGGGGAGACUGGAAUUCCUGGUGUAGCGGUGGAAUGCGCAGAUAUCAGGAGGAACACCGGUGGCGAAGGCGGGUCUCUGGGCAGUAACUGACGCUGAGGAGCGAAAGCGUGGGGAGCGAACAGGAUUAGAUACCCUGGUAGUCCACGCCGUAAACGGUGGGUACUAGGUGUGGGUUUCCUUCCUUGGGAUCCGUGCCGUAGCUAACGCAUUAAGUACCCCGCCUGGGGAGUACGGCCGCAAGGCUAAAACUCAAAGAAAUUGACGGGGGCCCGCACAAGCGGCGGAGCAUGUGGAUUAAUUCGAUGCAACGCGAAGAACCUUACCUGGGUUUGACAUGCACAGGACGUGCCUAGAGAUAGGUAUUCCUUGUGGCCUGUGUGCAGGUGGUGCAUGGCUGUCGUCAGCUCGUGUCGUGAGAUGUUGGGUUAAGUCCCGCAACGAGCGCAACCCUUAUCUUAUGUUGCCAGCGCGUAAUGGCGGGGAACUC
rnacentral:rRNA from 1 species